rnacentral:rRNA from 1 species
CCGUCACACCAUGGGAGUGGGUUUUACCAGAAGUGGCUAGUCUAACCGCAAGGAGGACGGUCACCACGGUAGGAUUCAUGACUGGGGUGAAGUCGUAACAAGGUAGCCGUAUCGGAAGGUGCGGCUGGAUCACCUCCUUU